AGAGUUUGAUCCUGGCUCAGGAUGAACGCUAGCUACAGGCUUAACACAUGCAAGUCGAGGGGCAGCAUCAUCAAAGCUUGCUUUGAUGGAUGGCGACCGGCGCACGGGUGAGUAACACGUAUCCAACCUGCCGACAACACUGGGAUAGCCUUUCGAAAGAAAGAUUAAUACCGGAUGGCAUAGUUUUCCCGCAUGGGAUAAUUAUUAAAGAAUUUCGGUUGUCGAUGGGGAUGCGUUCCAUUAGGCAGUUGGCGGGGUAACGGCCCACCAAACCAACGAUGGAUAGGGGUUCUGAGAGGAAGGUCCCCCACAUUGGAACUGAGACACGGUCCAAACUCCUACGGGAGGCAGCAGUGAGGAAUAUUGGUCAAUGGACGAGAGUCUGAACCAGCCAAGUAGCGUGAAGGAUGACUGCCCUAUGGGUUGUAAACUUCUUUUAUACGGGAAUAAAGUUAGCCACGUGUGGCUUUUUGUAUGUACCGUAUGAAUAAGGAUCGGCUAACUCCGUGCCAGCAGCCGCGGUAAUACGGAGGAUCCGAGCGUUAUCCGGAUUUAUUGGGUUUAAAGGGAGCGUAGGCGGGUUGUUAAGUCAGUUGUGAAAGUUUGCGGCUCAACCGUAAAAUUGCAGUUGAUACUGGCGACCUUGAGUGCAACAGAGGUAGGCGGAAUUCGUGGUGUAGCGGUGAAAUGCUUAGAUAUCACGAAGAACUCCGAUUGCGAAGGCAGCUUACUGGAUUGUAACUGACGCUGAUGCUCGAAAGUGUGGGUAUCAAACAGGAUUAGAUACCCUGGUAGUCCACACAGUAAACGAUGAAAUACUUCGCUGUUGGCGAUAUACAGUCAGCGGCCAAGCGAAAGCAUUAAGUAUUCCACCUGGGGAGUACGCCGGCAACGGUGAAACUCAAAGGAAUUGACGGGGGCCCGCACAAGCGGAGGAACAUGUGGUUUAAUUCGAUGAUACGCGAGGAACCUUACCCGGGCUUAAAUUGCAACUGACUGAACCGGAAACGGUUCUUUCUUCGGACAGUUGUGAAGGUGCUGCAUGGUUGUCGUCAGCUCGUGCCGUGAGGUGUCGGCUUAAGUGCCAUAACGAGCGCAACCCUUAUCGAUAGUUACUAGCAGGUCAUGCUGAGGACUCUAUUGAGACUGCCGUCGUAAGAUGUGAGGAAGGUGGGGAUGACGUCAAAUCAGCACGGCCCUUACGUCCGGGGCUACACACGUGUUACAAUGGGGGGUACAGAAGGCAGCUACACGGCGACGUGGUGCUAAUCCCGAAAGCCUCUCUCAGUUCGGAUUGGAGUCUGCAACCCGACUCCAUGAAGCUGGAUUCGCUAGUAAUCGCGCAUCAGCCACGGCGCGGUGAAUACAAACCCGGGCCUUGCACACACCGCCCGUCA
rnacentral:rRNA from 1 species